rnacentral:tRNA from 1 species
GGUGGUUCCAUAGUAGAAUUCUUGUUUUCCAUGCAAGAGACCUGGGUUCGAUUCACAGCC